GAGGAUAUAGCUUAGUGGUAGAGCGCGCGCUUAGCAUGCAUGAAGUCCUGGGUUCAAUCCCCAGUACCUCCA
rnacentral:tRNA from 1 species